rnacentral:rRNA from 1 species
UACAGAGGUCUCAACCGUUGUUCGGAUUCAUUGGGCGUAAGGGCUCGUAGGCGGUCCAUCGCGUCGGGAGUGAAAAGCUGGGGCUUAACCCCAGUCCUGCUUCCGAUACGGGUGGACUAGAGGUAGGUAGGGGAGAACGGAAUUCCUGGUGUAGCGGUGAAAUGCGCAGAUAUCGGGAGGAACACCGGUGGCGAAGGCGGCGACCUGGGUAGAUACUGACGCUGAGGCGCGAAAGCGUGGGGAGCAAACAGG